rnacentral:rRNA from 1 species
UACGUAGGUGGCAAGCGUUGUCCGGAUUUAUUGGGCGUAAAGCGAGCGCAGGCGGUUUCUUAAGUCUGAUGUGAAAGCCCCCGGCUCAACCGGGGAGGGUCAUUGGAAACUGGGAGACUUGAGUGCAGAAGAGGAGAGUGGAAUUCCCGGUGUAGCGGUGAAAUGCGCAGAUAUCGGGAAGAACACCCGUGGCGAAGGCGGCUCUCUGGGACGGUACUGACGGCUGAGACGCGAAAGCGUGGGGAGCGAACAGG